rnacentral:rRNA from 1 species
CAAGCUCGCGAGAGUAAGCUAAUCUCUUAAAGCGUCUCAGUUCGGACUGUAGGCUGCAACUCGCCUACACGAAGUCGGAAUCGCUAGUAAUCGCGGAUCAGCAUGCCGCGGUGAAUACGUUCCCGGGCCUUGUACACACCGCCCGUCACACCAUGGAGUUUGUAACGCCCAGAGUCGGUGGCCUAACCUUUAUGGAGGGAGCCGCCUAAGGCGGGACAGAUGACUGGGGUGAAGUCGUAACAAGGUAUC